AAUUAAAAAUAGUUGAAAAUGAAAUUAGAAAUGCGACAGUUCGCUUAAAAAUAUAUAAUGUUAUCUGUUGAGGUUUUCGGAAGCAAAAAAUACUGACCUACGUUAAAUUUACUUCUGUUUACUUCUGUAAAUCGUAGUUCAUCACCUAAACUAACCUCAUGUCGUCAGAUAAACACUGGAGCAAACUUGAGACAUUUUCCCCUGUGGAAUUCGUAUUUUCCUCGUCUAAAACACCUAGUGAAAGUGUGGAGAUAUAUUGGAGGAACGCUGCUGCCAUAAAACCUGCACCUGGCUUUGGUGAACCGCUGUGCAGUCUACAACCACAACAGUUUUCCAGGUGACACCUCACACCAGCCCCAUGCUGGAACAGCUUUUAGAAGUCUGUUCCUUCACCUUGCCAGGCUCCUUCACUGCAGGUUUGUGUUGAUAUCGAAUAACAUUCGAACAUAAUGAAAUCUUAAAUACACUCAUCAGGGAAUUAUUUCCAUUACACACUCUCUGACUACUGUGCAAUUUAAUGUAAUUCACCACAACAUAUCUGCCACAAAUUGUACAUUUAAAAAGCGCAUAAUUUUAGAUUUUAUCUGACACUAUGGGAGAGGUAUUGAUGUGUGUUACUAAGGUCAUAGUUUAGUGAAAUGUGUUUGUAAAUGGGGUGAGCAAGUAUUAGAAAUAGUUCACCCUGAUGCAGUUCAGUUCGACUCCAUGGCAAACUACAAUCUCAGUACCUGACGUAAUUACCUCCCUCAGCACCUGUAAAAUAUGAACUGGACUGAAUAUGAGCUUUAUUAUGUUUGUAUAGAUAGAUCAGAUUGUUUUAGUUACCAUUAGAUUUUCCAGGUCAGCCUAACAAAGUCUUCACUUAAUCUAUGUACUGAGAGUGCUGUAUUUAUCUUAAAUGUGUGUUUUCUAUCAGAUCUUGUUUUGUGAUAGACUACAUACAUAACAAGUCUUGCCAAGUAUCAGUGACUGAUAUUUGUUUCCAAAUUCUGAUCAUAUUAUAUCUUCAGAAACUGCAGCAAUAAACCUCAUAAUCAGUCUUAAAUAUUGUGCAUGUAGAAAAAAGUGACAAAGAAAUUUAGCAAUAUAUGAAACAUAUAUUUUUAUUAGACGAAUAAAAAAUAAUGAAGGCAAAAUCACACAAAAGUCAAGAAUAAGUUUACUGACCAUUUGCAAAACCUUUGCAAACUUUGUAGCAUUUCACUAAUGUCUGUCUUUCACAUUAAAGUAGAGUCACAAAACAAGUAAAUGUUGAACUUGUUCCUGAAAUGGGAUUGUGCAACAAAAUGAGCACAAGCUUUGGCCAUUUAUUUUCUUAUUGUCUAAGUAUAUGGAUUCAUGUUGCCAGUAUAAGGAAUAAAAGUAAUGCUGACUUCAAAAUUGCAUAGAUUUACCUGUAUUUCAAAAUGCUAUUAUCUCAUAAUAUUUUUAAAUGAUGGACUUCCAUUUAUAUCUGCAAAAUGUAACCAGAGACAAACUUGUAUUUUAUUUUUCUGACAGUAAACUUUUCUAAAUCGGUUGUUGCCCUGAACACGACGACGGUAAAGUGAGAAGGUAGUAAAAUCAAAAUAGUAAUGUUUUUUAGCUUCCCAUAAUGCAAAUACAUUUAAGUUAAUCUGUCUCUGUUGAAGGUCCAAAGGCGAAUGAGAUUAGUUUAUUCAUACUAUACUGUAUUUAUACUAUAUAUAAUGUAAGAUCAUUUAUUCUGCAUCUGUCCUGUUGUAUGAGAUGAGUUGGACAACACUUGAUGUCUCACCUGGAUGCAAAUAAUGUAACAGAUCUGUAGAGUAGCUGUCAGUUAAGCUGCUAAAAUAUCAGCCUCUGAUUACAUCAACAAGUGAACCUGUUAUUUGAUUAGUCUGACUUUGAAACCAUUAAGAUUUAUAUUGAUUUAUCAUCAGUGAUGAGGUAAAAAGUCUCUUUGUGGAUACAGUAUUUUAUUUCCAGAUUUAUAGAAGACAUUUUUGCCAGUAUUUCAAAUCUUACCAUCCAGAAAAUGUUAAACGGUGUCACUGUGCAAAAGAUUAAAUAACAGUGCCACAUUUUUCAGUUUAUAUUAUCACAGCCAACAUAAUAAAACAACACAUACCGUGUAGCUAUUUGGGUAAGAGAUGUCAUUACUCGAAGUACUCUUUCUGUUACAGUUAUUUACUUGUGUCUUAUCUUUUGGCUACAAAUCUGGUCAUAUUUUUUUUACUUUGGAUCAACAAAGUUCUGAUUAAGCAUGUGUGCCCUGAAGAGGAGCUAUUUUCACUGUUUUAGUUGAGGCCACUAAAGCAGACCCUGCUUUCGAGGUCACCCUGGUGAAUGUAAUUCAGUGGCAGCACCACGGCCACCGGACAGCUUAAGGUGAUGUGGGGCAGCUCUUUGAUCAGAGCUGUGGGGUUACGAAGAGGAUAGCAGGAGCACAGUGGCAGAGACAAACACAUCAUUCAGAGCGUACCUGAAUUAUCAGGCCCUAACGGAAACCCCGGAGCAGGUACCACAUGAAGCACGAUUAACUUCUUCCCUUUUAUUUGUCGUCUUUUGUACUGUGAUUCAAAAACAUGGUAACAUAUUUGUGUCUGUUUUGUUUGGGUUAAUUCCACAGGGCAACUGCAUCAUUUGUGGGUGAUUACAUGUUUACUGUUCCUUAUUGCAGUAAGAGCUUGCAUGUGUCUGGUUAGAAGCUGAUGUGUACCACAGUCACAUCAUGGAAUAAAAACACUAAUGAAGUGGAAGCUGUAUGUUGAAAAAAUGUCUAUAUUAGAAUAUAAGCAUAUAUUUUAAAAAUAUUUGAUUGUAACUUGAUCAGAAAAUGUAAUAGUUUUAAUAUUGAUUAUUUUUAACAUGUUAUUGUUCGCUAGUGGUGUCUUGUGGCUGGAAUGAAGAACGGGAUGCAUUACCUGGAGGGGAACACACUGAGCUUCAUCUGCCAUAAAGCUACUUACUGCACAGUUCAACAGAGCACCUGGACAGAAGAGCAGCCCGUCUAUAACCAGGCUCUUGUGCUGCUGUAGGAAAACAGUUUUGGUCAGACUACAUGGUGGAGAGGUCAGAGAGCCAUCUGAGGAGAAGAGGGCAACAUGAGCUUUAUUGAUGGGACGAUGGUGACAGAGAGACAGGAAAGUGGGAAGAAGAAUGGGGGAAGGACCUGCAGCAAAGGGCCAUGAGCUGGAUUGGAACUCAUGACCACUGCAUUGGGGACUAUAUCCACUGUUUGUGCAUCGGCCACUCAACCUGUUGAGGCACGGCAGCCACCCUUCUUCGUUAUUUUUACACUUGACAAAGUCGUCUCGCCUGCCAGAUUGGGCCACGCGUUUGACACCCCUGCUCUAGAUGAUGUUUGUCAAUGUGCAUUUUUUUUAGACUUUAGAUAGUGGUAAUGGUGCAGUACAUUGUAGUGAUCAGUGUUCAUAUAGAGUGUUGGAGAAGUGAGUGUCAAGUCUGGAUAAGAAGUCCUUGGAGUGUUCUUCAUCUGAACACAGACACCUGGAAGGCUUCUAAGGUUGUUGAGUUUACUAGCUUGGAUGUACCUCGUCACAGUCUUGUAAAAAACAAUAUCCCUGGUUGGGUAGCAGAUGCAUACCAGUAACAGGUUAAUAGCUUUAUAAUAUUAAUAGAGUUCCUUGAGGAGAGGAACAGAGGAGAAGAAAGUGAUUAAAGGAAAGGUGACAGGUGUCAGGAAGGGAUAGAACGAUUUUCACGGGAAAAAGUGACGUGGGCUGCAAGACAAAAUCCCACUCAAUUUUCUGCCUGUGAUUCCCUUCUCAGAUUCCCCUGAGAUAGAGCAGCUGAGCACUGACAGAAAGAAAAGUGGUUGGUAAAUGCAGGUUGCAUAGAAGAGGUUUUGAAAUGCCAACCAGGGACAGCUUGAGACUUUAAAACCGGUCAUGUUGCUCACAUUUCAGUGUCCUCUCAGUAGCCAUUUCAGAUAUUGAACAUAUGUCACUGCCAGAGAAGUAUUAAACCCGCUUUCUCACAUCUUUGUCAAGCCUGUAUUUCCUCCUCUUGUCAAUUAUCUCCUUUCUUUCUUUUCAAGUUGCCACAACUCCCUCUAAAACUUAGGUCCUUAAAUAAAGUUGACGUAAAGGGAAAACAUACUGAGUGUGGCGUGAACAGCAGUGUUGAAUGCUGUACCAAGAUGAAGAGGCACAGAAAUGCAAACUCUGAGUUUGUGCUUAUGCACAUAGACAUAUCUGUUGAGGGCGGUUUCUGCACUGUGGUGAGGUCUAGCUCUGAAUGCGAGCUCUGUUUCUUACAAUAUUUGCAGCCAGGACUGGCCUUCACGCUGCAUUUUUGAUUUUGUUGUGUUAGGAUCUUAAGUAAUGGGAUCUAUUGUUUUAGGCUAUGUCUUUAGGAGUUAAUAAUAAUAAAUGAAGGAAUGACUGAAGG